GAUGAACGCUGGCGGCGUGCCUAACACAUGCAAGUCGAACGAAGCACCUUGAUUUCUUCGGAUUGAUUGGUGACUGAGUGGCGGACGGGUGAGUAACACGUGGGCAACCUGCCCUGCAGACUGGGAUAACUUCGGGAAACCGGAGCUAAUACCGGAUAACACCGAAAACCGCAUGGUUUUCGGUUGAAAGGCGGCUUUUAGCUGUCACUGCAGGAUGGGCCCGCGGCGCAUUAGCUAGUUGGUGAGGUAACGGCUCACCAAGGCGACGAUGCGUAGCCGACCUGAGAGGGUGACCGGCCACACUGGGACUGAGACACGGCCCAG
rnacentral:rRNA from 1 species